GGGGACAUAUUAUGAAAAUUCCACUUUUGUAGUGCUUCUACACAUUAGUUUGGGUAUCUGGCAUGUCUACCGUCCCAAAAACUCUGGAAAAAAAUCACUCCCGCGAUUUGUUGUGGUUCCUCUAUUUCAGAAACUAUGUGCUAAAGUGCGUCCAAUGGAAUUUCCCCCGAAAUAGACGUCAUAGUCGAAAAAUGCCCAUUUAGUACAUUCCCCCAUAGCUCUAUGCACUCCCCCACUACCACUCGACCCACCCCUAGAUGGACCCUCCCACUUUAUAUAAGCUCGGUCCACCGGUAUCCGCCAUUUCAUUCUUGCAAGCCUUGGAAACACUUGGAUAAGCUAACAGCAGCAUGAAUCGGUGGUCGGCUGCAAACAUGUCUUCAUGUGACUCCAGCUUCAGAAGACACAAGAUUGAGAUGGAUUGAGUUCAUAUAUGAUGGCAACGUUCCUGCCACCACUUUGAAUCGGACUUUUUUAUCAACCUGGGCCAAUAUAACGCUGGAUUCUCUAAAAGGUUGUUAUUGAAAGAGGGGUCGGUGCCAUCUUUCCAUGGCAAUACUGAAGACGAGGGAAAUGCAAGCACAUCUGUUCACGGUGCUAGGCUACAUCACGUAGCAUGCCAGACGGACCCACCACAGAUGCGCACACAUGGAACGCAGCUUUCUAUGAAAACACUGCGACCUCACUACAAAAGUACAGGCACACAGAAAACUGUGCUGCACUGAUGUUGGUGUUGGGACCUCAGCUGUAAGAGACCUCGCUUGGAGGAGGGAGAGGACAAGAUGUGACAUUACGUGGAUAACCUGUUGGACCUCAUCUUUCACGAGGUUUUUCAGGACCCGGCCCCAUAUGUGAAUGAGGUGCUGAAGAUCUCAAAACCUGAGGAUCUCUCUGCCUAGUAUGAGAAACCUGACAAGCAGGAAGUUAUAGCCAGCUAUGUGUCGAGUUUCAAUCAAGGGCAGGUCUGAACCCUGUAUAACUUCCCUGAGCAUCAGGGAACACUCAGCGUAUCUGGAGCACCGAGCAGGAGGGCAGGACCACCCUGAUUCUCCGGCCCAGGUGGCCUCAACACCAGCUAACAAAGCUUCUCUACGACAAAUACCUGUAACGGCUGAGCAAAGUUCACAUUGUAUUUAGAGAAUAAAGGUGACACACAAAUAUAAAGUGUUCCUUUGUUUACAGUAUG